GCAAAUUCCAAAUUUCACUAUCUCUCACAUUUUCCCACUCUCUUUCUUCUCUCUUGAAGAGCAAAAUACCUCCAAGAGUCGUGGCUGCUAGAGGCACACCACCACAUUUUUUCACAAUCUCCUUUCCGAUAGCCACAAGGUUAGGAUUUAUUUCUUCCUGAUGUCCAAAUGCACAUUGUAUGAACAACAACCAACAAUCUUCUUGAGACAGAUUUGACAAUUCAUAUGGUUGCAAAGUUCCCAUAAUUGAUCCAACCUUUUCAAGACGAGUA